GCUUGCUUCAGCAGGCACUAGAAUUGGAACAAUAAAGAGAAAGUUAGCAUAGCCCCUAUGCAAAAUAACGUGCAAAUUCAUGAAGCGUUCCAUGUUGUU
ensembl:snRNA U6 U6 spliceosomal RNA